rnacentral:rRNA from 1 species
UACGAAGGGGGCUAGCGUUGCUCGGAAUCACUGGGCGUAAAGGGCGCGUAGGCGGCUUUAUAAGUCGGGGGUGAAAGCCUGUGGCUCAACCACAGAAUUGCCUUCGAUACUGUAGAGCUUGAGACCGGAAGAGGUAAGUGGAACUGCGAGUGUAGAGGUGAAAUUCGUAGAUAUUGGGAAGAACACCGGUGGCGAAGGCGGCCAUCUGGACCGCAACUGACGCUGAGGCGCGAAAGCUAGGGGAGCGAACGGG